ACAUGUACUGCGUGCAGAAGUGGGAAAACACUGGAAGGCCGAAUGAUAUGAUUGUAUUGAGAACAACAUGUACUUAAAGGUCACAAUGUAUUUUCUGAAGAUGUCUCGCGGGGGGAGCAGGACGCGCCGGACCACAAUCUAACAGAGAAAGUGUGUCAAAGAGGAGAAGUAGAGGAGCCUAUCAGGAGUAGACAAACACCCUAGACUGUAGGAAUAGAAAAGAACUGCUCCCGCGAAGGCAACUCAGAUCCAGACUCAUAUCUUUGUAUGUACUGUGGUCUCCACACUCUGCAGACUGUGAAUAAAUACUCGUACUCGA